rnacentral:tRNA from 1 species
UAGGCUUUAUUUUAACUAAAAUAUCUGGUUGUUGCCCAGAAGAUGUAAGAGGUUUACAGGCUUAU